rnacentral:rRNA from 1 species
AUUGAACGCUGGCGGCAUGCCUUACACAUGCAAGUCGAACGGCAGCACGGGAGCUUGCUCCUGGUGGCGAGUGGCGAACGGGUGAGUAAUACAUCGGAACGUACCCUGAAGUGGGGGAUAACGUAGCGAAAGUUACGCUAAUACCGCAUAUUCUGUGAGCAGGAAAGAGGGGGAUCGCAAGACCUCUUGCUUUAGGAGCGGCCGAUGUCGGAUUAGCUAGUUGGUGAGGUAAAGGCUCACCAAGGCGACGAUCCGUAGCGGGUCUGAGAGGAUGAUCCGCCACACUGGGACUGAGACACGGCCCAGACUCCUACGGGAGGCAGCAGUGGGGAAUUUUGGACAAUGGGCGCAAGCCUGAUCCAGCCAUGCCGCGUGAGUGAAGAAGG